rnacentral:rRNA from 1 species
AACGAACGCUGGCGGCAUGCCUAACACAUGCAAGUCGAACGAUGCCUUCGGGCAUAGUGGCGCACGGGUGCGUAACGCGUGGGAAUCUGCCUUUCGGUUCGGAAUAACUCAGGGAAACUUGAGCUAAUACCGGAUAACGUCGCAAGACCAAAGAUUUAUCACCGAAAGAUGAGCCCGCGUAGGAUUAGCUAGUUGGUGAGGUAAAGGCUCACCAAGGCGACGAUCCUUAGCUGGUCUGAGAGGAUGAUCAGCCACACUGGGACUGAGACACGGCCCAGACUCAAAGGGGGGGAGGAGGGGGGGAAUAUGGGAAAUGGGGGAAAGGCUUGACCAAGAAGGGCCGGGGGGGGAAGGAGGCCCUUGGGGUGGAAAGCUUUUUUUCCCGGGAAAGAAAAGAGGGGACCGGGGAAAAAAACCCCGGCCAAACCCGUGC